rnacentral:lncRNA from 1 species
UAGAAAUUUUCUUUUUAUUUCUUUCUCUAUAUUAUUAUUAUUUUUUCUUUCUCUUUCCUUUUUUCCAUCUCCCCAGCAGGUAUAACUAUAGAGAAUGUUGAGUAGAGUUGUUUGGCUUUGCUUCUAUAGCUGUAUGCACUUCUGAUGGCAACUUUUAUACUGGGCUGUGCGCUUCAAACUCUAAGCCUGUAGAUGGCACUUAUAGGUAUGAGCUGGUUGCAGCCAAUUUGGGGAUAUACUUGACCUUUGUUUACUGGGAGAAGCUCCCUGUUGCUUCAGGUAAAUGGGCUGAUCCAUGGAGUGCACAGUGGUCUGAGCUUCCUGUUUAGCCCCUGGUGAGUGGGGGACAUGAUGGAUGGAGCUGGACCAGGCGAGUCUGCCUACAGGCUCCAGGGACAAGCACAAGUGCUGAGGGAGAAUCCAGUGAGCAGCCAUCAAGUACCUAGAGGUGCACCUAGGCAUGGAGCUGGGAAACCUCUUUAGCCCCAAGUUCACUGCACAGGGAUGGGGGAUGGCCUAAACUCCUUAUCCAGGAGAGGGGGCACUCCAGGUGCCUGGAGAUCUGCCUGGGUGUGGAGUGAAGAGGUCCCUGCUUCACCAGGAUCUCUAUAUAGGAAGAAUGGCAUAGGUCAGAAUGCCAAUCCAGGUGAGUGGGUACUUUGAAUACCUGGAGAUCUGCCUAUUGUGGAGCAGAGAAAGCCCCGUUUCACCACAAUCUAUACUCAGGAAGGUUGAGGUGGCUCAAGCUGCUGAACUAAGCAAAUGGGUCCUCCAAAUGCCUGGAGAUCUGCCUGGGCAUGGAGCAGAAAAGGCCCCACUAUAUCUUGAUCUAUGUCUAUGAAGGGUGGGGCAGCUCAGGCUGCUGGUCCAGGCAAACAGGUACUCCAAAUGCCUGGAUUUCUGCCUGUGGCUAGAGUGGAUAGGGCCCCACUGCACCAUGAUCUCAGGGGAACAGGAUGGAGCACCCAGAAAUGGCGUGCACAGACUGGUUCCAAGUCACUAAGCUGACCCUGGCUGCAAGUCUUGCUGCUCAGGAGAAACUGCAGUGGUAGCAGCUCCCAUCCCAUCCUAGUCUUGCAAUGGGGAAUAACAAAAUUCCAGUGCCUACUGCUGAGGUACUUUUCAUAGUUCUAGCUCUGGAGACCCCUAUGCCACUCUAGAGCAGGCACUCCAGUCUCUGACCUGAGACUAAAAUGCCUGCAUGGCUACACUGCCAGGUUGCUAAAGAAUGGCUGACUUUAUGUCCCUGGGUUAAAACACAUCCUGCUUUUGGUCCCAGGUCUGGGAAAAUGCCUGUAGUGUUCCCCAGUGUCUUUUUUCUCAUAGCAUCUCCAAGCUCCUCCCCAGGUUGGCUGCAAGGCUUAGGAUAAACAAGGUGUCCUCCCUUGGCCUGGGUUGCUCGGAUCCCCAGUGGAAAGGUAAGUAACAGAGGGAGGCUGUCUGCCUGUCUCACAUACUGGGGUUUCACUCACUUUUCUCAGCCAGAUGCUUUCAUGGGGUCCGUUUGCCCACAUUUUCCUCUCUGGGAUCUGAGGUGUCCUUCAUGAUUCUGGUGAAUCCCCAUUUUCCUUCUUGAAUUAAUGCCACAGAGUUGAUCUUUAUGCACUAUCUUGCUAUUUCCAAGUGACUGAGGCAUGCUAAAAGGGUGUAAUCCACCAUCUUGUGAAAAAAAGCGUGGUAAUCUUAUUGUGGGUCUUGGGUGAAGAAUUGUUUUUUUCUUGCUACAUUUAGAGUUUUCUCUUUAUCCUUUGUUUGAUUUUGAUGUGCCUAGGUGUGGAUCUGUUUCAGUUUAUCCUACUUAGAGAUUGUUGAGCUUCUUGGAUGUUGAGCUUCUUGGACAUGAAGAUUAAUGUUUUUCAUCAAAUGUAAGUUUUCAGUCAUUAUUCACAUUUUUUUCUGCUCCUUUGCCUUUUUUCUCUAAGUAUGUCACCUUUGUGUAGCAGAAAAAGAAAAGGCAUACAUGACUGGAUUAGGGGCCUCAUCACAUGUCAGGGGCCAGCUCUGCAAGUCUUGUACUUUGGAAAAAGAACCAACUAGCCUGUUCAGCGAUACAAAUGUCAGAAAGUUGAGAAUGCCUGGAUUUCAAAUAUCCUAAUAGACUAUAGAGGAGAUAUGUUUGGUGAAGGAAAUCCUUUCCGGAAUCCUCCAAGUCAUAAUGUAAAUGGUUGCCUACUAAUUCUCAGCCCUUAAAUCUAGUCCUAGUAAGCCCUGAUAAACUGACUCAUACAAGAUGGGAAUGCCUACCAUGAAAUGCUGAGAUGGGAUAUGACAGUGACAACAAAGGCUGCUGCUGUAAUGUGAUCUCUCCAGAUGGGUUCUUUCAUCUUAGGUAAAAAGGUAUUGGUUUUGAAAAUGCUCCCAAGGAAAGCUGCAUACAAAUAUCCAUCUCAGAGUCUAAUUCCAAGGAACCCAGUCCAGAUGGCUGCCUUCCAGAGUCUGGGUUCUCUGCCACUGUUUGAUAUUUUGUUCUUUAUAUCUUCUGCCAAAAAAAAUUGCGAAUCUCUCAUCUCUCAGCACCAAGCUUGUGAGCAUGUUUCAGAAAAUGUGCCACCCUGAACUCGGAGUGAAAGAGAAGCUUCAUUGGUUAUGUCACUGCUGAUGUGAAAGCAAGGCCUCCAUCAUAAGGGACAUUGGUCUAUACCUCUCUUUUCUUGUAAUGUCUUUGUCUGGCUUUGGUAUCCAGGUAAUGCUGACCUCAUAGGAUGAGUUAAGAAGUGUUCCAUCCUUUUCAAAUUUUGGAAGAAUUUGAAAACGAUUAGGAUUAGUGAUUUAAAUGUUUGGUAGAAUUCACCUGUGAAGCCAUCAGGCCCAAAGCUUUUCUUUGAUUUUUGAUUUUUGAUUACUACUUCAAUCUCCUUAUUAGUUAUAGGCUAUUCAGAUUUUCUAUAUCUUCUUGAUUCAGUCUCAGUAGGUUUUGGGUUUCUAGGAUUUGUCCAUUUCAUCUAAGUUAUUCAAUUUGUUGCUGUAUAAUUAUUCAUGUUACUGUCUUAUACCCCUCUUUACAUUUUGUGUAAUUGGUAGUAAUGUCCCUACUUUCUGAUUUUUCUUAUUUUUUUAAUGUGCUUAUAGCUAUAAAUUUCCUCCUUACUACUGCUUUUGCUGUGUCCCACCUGAUGAAGUCCUUCCAGACCCUAACCAAUUUUUCAGGGUUUGGGCUACCUGCAAAUUUGAUUCUAGCCUCUUUUCCAGUGUCAGCAGGACACAUGGAUUUCCCAACUCUUUAAUAUAUGGUGAUUUGCCAUGUUCUCCAGCUUGCUUUUGAACACAGUAAUGCCAAUAAUGAUCUAACAAUGAUAAUAAUAAUGAGCAUUUGUUGAGGUCAUAAUCUAGAUUAUUGUGUUGUGCAUUUGUUUUUAUUCAUCUCUAAGUACUUUCUAAUUUCUCUUGUGAUUUCUUUGAUCCAUUGGCUAAGAGUGUGUUAUUUAAUUUACAUACAUUUGUGAAUUUUCCUGCUUUCCUAUUGAUUUUGAACCUCAUCCUGAUAGGAGAUGAUCCUUUAUAUGAUAGCUAUUUUUUUUUAAAUCGAUUGAGACUUAAGUUGUGACCUAAUAUGUGAUCUAUUCUGGAAAAUGUCCGAUAUGCGCUUAAGAAGAAUGUGUGUUGUUGUGUCCGGAAUUGGUGGGUUCUUGGUCUCACUG